AAUGUUAAUGAUGAAAUUUCAAUCACCUAUCAUGAAUUUUGUAUGAUUGUUUAUUACAUGCACUACCAACUGAAGCAUU